GGGGCUGGAUGGCUGCGGACCAAUGCGGUUCGAGGAAAGUCCGGACUCCACAAAGCAACGGUGCCGGGUAACUCCCGGGCGGGGAAACCCGACGGAAAGCGCCACAGAAAGCAAACCGCCUGUGACAUCAUAGGUAAGGGUGAAAGGGUGGGGUAAGAGCCCACCGGGGGGUUGGCAACAGCUCUCGCAUGGCAAGCCCCACCGGGAGCAAUGCCGAAUAGGAACCCUGCCGCGGUUUAUCGCAUUACCGAUAUUAUCGCAGGGCAGCUUUGGCCUUUUGGGUUCGGGUUGGCAGCUAGAGGCGCGAAAGCAAUUUCGCGUUUAGAUGAAUGGUCAUCCAAGGGAUAUUCCCUGGACAGAAUCCGGCUUACAGGCCACCC
rnacentral:RNase_P_RNA from 1 species